rnacentral:rRNA from 1 species
CAUCAGGCAACCUCUGCCCAUGCCGGCUCUGGCGCAGAUCAGGACCAGAGGCGCAGGGCUGGGGCACUGAAGCCCUGAGUAUCUCCUCAGAACAGACAUGGUGACGCACUGAAAAUAAGCAUCUCACUAAUUGAAGGAUAGGAAACUGACCAGGAUUCCCUCAGUAAUGGCAAGGUAAGAGGGAAGAGCACAGAAUAGGUGGGUUCAGGAAAUGUGCCAUACAGUAGACAGACUCCACAGCAUCAUUCAGGGGUCCCAAGUCCUUCUGAUUGAUGCCCAUCAUGCAGAUUGUGUUAAGCCAAUAGUGGCCCCCCGGCUCACAGGAUCGGGUUUUUUCUGAGUCAGGUUGCUUCGGAAUGCAUCCCAAAGUGGCUGGCAGACUCAUUUUAAGGCUUAGUAUGGACGUUAGACCGAUAGCCAACAAGUACCAAAAGAGAAAGUUCAAAUUAACUUUGAAGAGAGAGAUCAAGAGGGCAUGAUCCCAUCGAGAGUGAUACGACCCCCUGGCUGCAGUCUUGCCAUGUCCAUGGGGCAGAAGCUGAUUGACUACAACUCGGUGGUUGUUGGGGCAACAACUAGGGGAUGGGACCCCCUACUCCUGGUGCAACUGUCGACUGGGGUGUACUGUCCUCAGUGUGCCCCGACCACAUCGCACCAUUGGGUGGGGAGGUUCACAAAUGGCGCCAGGGGUCUGUGGUGAUGUUGGUUACCAACCCAACCCAUCUCGAAACACAGAUAAGGGGUCUUUCACGUGUGCCAGUCACAGAGCCAAAUGAAACCCUGUGACACAAUGAAUGUGAGCGCCAGUGCAGCUGGUUGAGGUAGAUUCCAUUGCGCCAUUGCACCCGGCACCUCUCACCCGCUCUGUCGGGAGGUGGUGAAUGAGCGUGUGUGAUAGGACCUGAAAGAUGGAGAACUAUGUCUGGGCAUAGCAAAGCUUGAGGGAACUCUGGUGGAGGUCUGUAGUGGUCCUAACAUGCAAAUCGGUCAUCCAGCAUGGGUAUGGGUGUCAAAGGACUAAUUGAACCAUCUAGUAGCUGGUUCCCUCCAAAGUUUCACUCAGAAUAGCUGGUGCUCAGAUACCCCAGUUUUAACUAAUAAAGCAAAUGAUUAGAGGUCUUGGGUCCAAAACGAUCUAAACCUAGUCUCAAACUUUAUAUGGGUAAGGAGCCUGGCUCACUGACAUGGAGCCGGGCAUCAUAUGCUAGUGCCCGGUGUGUCAUUUUUGGUAAACAGACUUGCCGCUGCAGGAUGAACCGAAUACCAGGUUAAGACGCACAAUGCUGAUGCUCAUUAGACCCCAGAAAAUGUGUUGGUUUAUAUAGACAGCAGAACGGUGGCCAUUGAAGCCAGAAUCUGCUAAGGAGUGUCUGACAACUCACCUGCCAAAUCAACUAUCCCUUGCAAUGGAUGGAGCUGGAGUGUCAGGCCCCUACCCAGCCAUUGCUGGCACUGCAGGCAGUGGGUCUAAGCUGCAAUGAGUAGGAGGGCUGCUGCAGUGCACACGGUAGCCCGGAGUGAGUGCCGGGUCGAGCCACAGCAGGUAGAAAUCUUGAAGGUAGCAGCAAAUAUUCUGAAGGGAAAUUUGAAGGCCGUAGACGAGGAGGGUACCAUGUGAAAAGCUGUUGAACAUGGGUCAGUCAUUCAUAAGGGAUGGGCAAGCGUUGUUCAGAAGGGACAGGCAAUGGCCUCCAUUGCCCUCAGCCGAACGAAAGAGAAUUGGGUUCAGACCACCAAACCCAGAGUGGCAGAGAUGGGCACCCUUGCAGCAUCCAUUGCGGUAACGCAACUGUUCACAGAGAAUCUGGCAGCCGCCCCAAGGAGAGUUCUAUUUUCUUGGUGAAGUGCAGGACACCCUGGAAUGGGUUUACAACAAAUGCGGCACCUGAGCCUUGGAAAGCAUUGUGGUUCUGGCGAGGCGUGACCCACUCCAGGGACAUUGGCAGGUGGGGAGUUGACUGGGCAGUAAACCUGUGAAACGAUAAUGCAGGUGCCCUAAUGCAAGCUCAGGGAGGAGAGGACAGAAACCUCCUAUGGAGCCAAAAGGAAAAAUCUUGCUGGAUCUUGAUUUUCCUUAUGAAUGCAGACCGUGGAAGCGGAGCCUUGCAAUCCUUCUGACUUUUUGGUUUUCAAGCAGGAGGUGUCGGAUUAUUACCACAGGGUUAACUGUCUUGUGGCAGGCAAGCGUUCAUAGCAACGUCACAAUUGUAUCCUUCCACGUUUGCUCUUCCUAUCAUUGUGAAGCAGAAUUCACCAAACGUUCGAUUGUUCAACCACUAAUCGGGAACAUGAACUGGGUUUAGACCGUCGUGUGAUAGGUUAUUUUACCCAACGAUGAUGUGUUGUUACAAUAGUAAUCCUGCUCAGUACGAGAGGAACCGCAUGUCCAAACAUUUGGUGUAUUUGCUUGGCUGAGGAGCCAAUGGGGCGAAGCUGCCAUCUGUGGGUUUAUGAUUGAACUAAGUCAGAAUCCCCACUUUACUGUAAUGGUACCGCAGCACUAUGGAGCCUUGGUUAGCCUAGGAUAGCCAGCCUCUGGGGAAGUGCAUAGAGCUGCUUGCCUCAGGACUCGAGUGUAGACAGAAGAGGGCAACCUCUCUCACCCGUAGUGC